GCAUAUCAAUAAGCGGAGGAAAAGAAACCAACCGGGAUUGCCUUAGUAACGGCGAGUGAAGCGGCAAAAGCUCAAAUUUGAAAUCUGGUACCUUCGGUGCCCGAGUUGUAAUUUGGAGAGGGCAGCUUUGGGGCCGUUCCUUGUCUAUGUUCCUUGGAACAGGACGUCAUAGAGGGUGAGAAUCCCGUGUGGCGAGGAGUGCGGUUCUUUGUAAAGUGCCUUCGAAGAGUCGAGUUGUUUGGGAAUGCAGCUCUAAGUGGGUGGUAAAUUCCAUCUAAAGCUAAAUAUUGGCGAGAGACCGAUAGCGAACAAGUACAGUGAUGGAAAGAUGAAAAGAACUUUGAAAAGAGAGUGAAAAAGUACGUGAAAUUGUUGAAAGGGAAGGGCAUUUGAUCAGACAUGGUGUUUUGUGCCCUCUGCUCCUUGUGGGUAGGGGAAUCUCGCAUUUCACUGGGCCAGCAUCAGUUUUGGUGGCAGGAUAAAUCCAUAGGAAUGUAGCUUGCCUCGGUAAGUAUUAUAGCCUGUGGGAAUACUGCCAGCUGGGACUGAGGACUGCGACGUAAGUCAAGGAUGCUGGCAUAAUGGUUAUAUGCCGCCCGUCUUGAAACACGGACC
rnacentral:rRNA from 1 species